rnacentral:rRNA from 1 species
GAUGAACGCUGGCGGCGUGCCUAAUACAUGCAAGUCGAGCGAAUGGAUUAAGAGCUUGCUCUCAUGAAGUUAGCGGCGGACGGGUGAGUAACACGUGGGUAACCUGCCCAUAAGACUGGGAUAACUCCGGGAAACCGGGGCUAAUACCGGAUAACAUUUUGAACCGCAUGGUUCGAAAUUGAAAGGCGGCUUCGGCUGUCACUUAUGGAUGGACCCGCGUCGCAUUAGCUAGUUGGUGAGGUAACGGCUCACCAAGGCAACGAUGCGUAGCCGACCUGGGAGGGUGAUCGGCCACACUGGGACUGAGACACGGCCCAGACUCCUACGGGAGGCAGCAGUAGGGAAUCUUCCGCAAUGGACGAAAGUCUGACGGAGCAACGCCGCGUGAGUGAUGAAGGCUUUCGGGUCGUAAAACCCUGUUGUUAGGGAAGAACAAGUGCUAGUUGAAUAAGCUGGCACCUUGACGGUACCUAACCAGAAAGCCACGGCUAACUACGUGCCAGCAGCCGCCGUAA